GCUGCUUCAUGCAUGCAGGUCUCCUGACACGGCAGCUUGCUGCUUCAUCAAAUUGAGAAAUCUGCUAACAGGCAGACCGACAGGCAGAAAGGUCUUCUUAGCCUGUGUCUGAGCUCCAUUCACUCCAGCCUCAGCGCGUCCGUCUUCGCAGGCUCCUGCCACGAUGCUGCUUUCCCGGGCCCCGCAGCCGAUCCUUGUGCUGUGUGACUUUGGAGGGAUACAGAUUCCUGCUAUAUAGUCACUGUCUUCCUGUUUCAGUCUCCUUCGCUGGGAUUAUAGGUGUGAAAUCCCUCACCCAGAUGCCAGUAUGAGAUCUCAAAUGUUUGCAAAUCUUUUUAUGGUGAAUGUUCUGGCUUGCUGUCUUUAACAGUGUUUAUUUGUAGCAAUAUAAUAAAAUACCCUGCUUCAAAAUACCUGUGAUACUGUUAACAAUGAGACUGCAGAAGAAAGAAGAAUUCUGAAGCCUGAAGCCUGUUCCCCUGCUUGUUUUUUUUUUUUUUUUCUUUUUUCCAUCCAAGAAAGUACUGUGCAGAGAUGUGGAGCGACAAAAUUUUGCUUCCAGGUCUGGUAGAAUAAUAACCCUUUGUCUGGAUUUUGUCACCAAACAAAUGUUGAUUGCUGGUUUGUUUCAGUUUAU